rnacentral:rRNA from 1 species
GAUGAACGCUGGCGGCGUGCCUAAUACAUGCAAGUCGAGCGAACGGACGAGAAGCUUGCUUCUCUGAUGUUAGCGGCGGACGGGUGAGUAACACGUGGAUAACCUACCUAUAAGACUGGGAUAACUUCGGGAAACCGGAGCUAAUACCGGAUAAUAUUUUGAACCGCAUGGUUCAAAAGUGAAAGACGGUCUUGCUGUCACUUAUAGAUGGAUCCGCGCUGCAUUAGCUAGUUGGUAAGGUAACGGCUUACCAAGGCAACGAUGCAUAGCCGACCUGAGAGGGUGAUCGGCCACACUGGAACUGAGACACGGUCCAGACUCCUACGGGAGGCAGCAGUAGGGAAUCUUCCGCAAUGGGCGAAAGCCUGACGGAGCAACGCCGCGUGAGUGAUGAAGGUCUUCGGAUCGUAAAACUCUGUUAUUAGGGAAGAACAUAUGUGUAAGUAACUGUGCACAUCUUGACGGUACCUAAUCAGAAAGCCACGGCUAACUACGUGCCAGCAGCCGCGGUAAUACGUAGGUGGCAAGCGUUAUCCGGAAUUAUUGGGCGUAAAGCGCGCGUAGGCGGUUUUUUAAGUCUGAUGUGGAAGCCCACGGCUCAACCGUGGAGGGUCAUUGGAAACUGGAAAACUUGAGUGCAGAAGAGGAAAGUGGAAUUCCAUGUGUAGCGGUGAAAUGCGCAGAGAUAUGGAGGAACACCAGUGGCGAAGGCGACUUUCUGGUCUGUAACUGACGCUGAUGUGCGAAAGCGUGGGGAUCAAACAGGAUUAGAUACCCUGGUAGUCCACGCCGUAAACGAUGAGUGCUAAGUGUUAGGGGGUUUCCGCCCCUUAGUGCUGCAGCUAACGCAUUAAGCACUCCGCCUGGGGAGUACGACCGCAAGGUUGAAACUCAAAGGAAUUGACGGGGACCCGCACAAGCGGUGGAGCAUGUGGUUUAAUUCGAAGCAACGCGAAGAACCUUACCAAAUCUUGACAUCCUUUGACAACUCUAGAGAUAGAGCUUUCCCCUUCGGGGGACAAAGUGACAGGUGGUGCAUGGUUGUCGUCAGCUCGUGUCGUGAGAUGUUGGGUUAAGUCCCGCAACGAGCGCAACCCUUAAGCUUAGUUGCCAUCAUUAAGUUGGGCACUCUAAGUUGACUGCCGGUGACAAACCGGAGGAAGGUGGGGAUGACGUCAAAUCAUCAUGCCCCUUAUGAUUUGGGCUACACACGUGCUACAAUGGACAAUACAAAGGGCAGCGAAACCGUGAGGUCAAGCAAAUCCCAUAAAGUUGUUCUCAGUUCGGAUUGUAGUCUGCAACUCGACUACAUGAAGCUGGAAUCGCUAGUAAUCGUAGAUCAGCAUGCUACGGUGAAUACGUUCCCGGGUCU